rfam:Triticum aestivum genome assembly, contig: Triticum_aestivum_CS42_TGACv1_scaffold_500107_6BL
UACUUGUUCUCCUCCGUCCGGAAAUACUUGUCCUCGAAAUAGAUAGAAUGGAUGUAUCUAUAACUAACAUAAAUCUAGAUACAACUAUUUCGAGAACAAGUAUUUCCGGACAGAGGGAGUAAAAU